GUUUAAGUUAUUUAGAGGUAAAGAGAAAUUUCUCACAGUAUGCAUUAUGGUAUGCUUGAUAAGAUCAUUGUGAUUAAAUGAUUUACUGCACAGCUCACACUUGGAGGGAAGCCACCCCUGAAUGUAAUCUGUUGUGUGCAGUAUGUAAGGAAAUUAGAAAAUGUGCUGAAACAUUAAACUCUUUGGACACUCCAUAGAAAGGAAGAAUUAUUUUCUGUUUAAUGCUGGCAUGUGAAGACAUUAGAACAUUUUCUUGUAGAUUAAAUUCUUUGGACAUUCAAUGAAAAUGAAUUAUUUUGUGAAUUUUUGUUAUAAUAGUGCUUUUUUUAUUUCACUUAGAAUUUUAUUUCAUUGCCGGUUAAUUGAUAGUAACUAAGAAAGUGAAAUAAUUUUUUUGGAGAAAUAAAGAGUAUUUUUUACAACCUUA